rnacentral:rRNA from 1 species
AGUGAACGCUGGCGGUAGGCCUAACACAUGCAAGUCGAACGGCAGCACAGGAGAGCUUGCUCUCUGGGUGGCGAGUGGCGGACGGGUGAGGAAUACAUCGGAAUCUACUUUUUCGUGGGGGAUAACGUAGGGAAACUUACGCUAAUACCGCAUACGACCUACGGGUGAAAGCAGGGGAUCUUCGGACCUUGAGCGAUUGAAUGAGCCGAUGUCGGAUUAGCAAGUUGGCGGGGUAAAGGCCCACCAAGGCGACGAUCCGUAGCUGGUCUGAGAGGAUGAUCAGCCACACUGGAACCGAGACACGGUCCAGACUCCUACGGGAGGCAGCAGUGGGGAAUAUUGGACAAUGGGCGCAAGCCUGAUCCAGCCAUACCGCGUGGGUGAAGUAGGCCUUCGGGUUGUAAAGCCCUUUUGUUGGGAAAGAAAUCCAUCUGGUUAAUACCCGGGUGGGAUGACGGUACCCAAAGAAUAAGCACCGGCUAACUUCGUGCCAGCCGCCGCCGUAA